rnacentral:rRNA from 1 species
GUGGGGAAUCUUAGACAAUGGGGGAAACCCUGAUCUAGCCAUGCCGCGUGAGCGAUGAAGGCCUUAGGGUUGUAAAGCUCUUUCAGCUGGGAAGAUAAUGACGGUACCAGCAGAAGAAGCCCCGGCUAACUCCGUGCCAGCAGCCGCGGUAAUACGGAGGGGGCUAGCGUUGUUCGGAAUUACUGGGCGUAAAGCGCACGUAGGCGGACUAUUAAGUCAAGGGUGAAAUCCCGGGGCUCAACCCCGGAACUGCCUCUGAUACUGGUAGUCUUGAGUUCGAGAGAGGUGAGUGGAAUUCCGAGUGUAGAGGUGAAAUUCGUAGAUAUUCGGAGGAACACCAGUGGCGAAGGCGGCUCACUGGCUCGAUACUGACGCUGAGGUGCGAAAGCGUGGGGAGCAAACAGGAUUAGAAACCCGAGUAGUCC